UGCUGAUUUUCUAGGCAGAUGCUGGAGCAGCAAUUGGUGUUUAGAGGGUCGUAAGUCAUAAACAUUCCAUGAACUGGAAUACUGGCUGCUCUUCCCUUCCAUCCCAGUGCCUUAUCCAAGGUUUCCAGAAGGGGGAGCUUUUUUAGGAAUAUCCAAGGGAAUUGCUGUAGUUUGUACCUUUCUGGCUAAGUUGAACUAUUAUUCUGCUUAAUGCUUUUAUCACCUCUGUGUGUCCAUGGCCCCUGUCACAGGAAAGAUGUUUGGGAUGUGACUUCCCAGUUAUAGGAUCAUCUCUAUUCCUUACAGGAACAGAUGCAGCUCCUUUUAGGGUCAGGUAAUUUGAGAUGGGAAUAUCUGGUGGAAGUCUGGGGCAGGAAUGGGAAGGGACCCAUCACAAGAGGUGAUGUACGUGCAGGAUCAAGGUGCUGUUUAGAUUUUGAGGAAUUCAGAGCCUGGUUGUUGCAUUAACAAAACUUGUACCACAAACUUUGUUGCUUUCACAGCCAGAUUUCCAUUUUCAGGAGGUUUCUCUACAGGAACUUAGGAACUGGAAUUCUGCUGGUGUCAGGAACUGGGCUGUGUGGCAGAAACAAGAUGUGCCUUCUCAGGGUGUGAGUGAGUCUCAUCUCAGGUUUUUUUUUGCACACCUCUCAGUAGAAAGCUUGAAAUAUUUAGUAGUAAAUAAUACCAACAUUAAUUAUUGAUUAUUUUUUUUUAAAACUUGAAUUUGGAAAAAAAUCUGGAAAUAUUAAAGGUGACAGAUGAGCUUUGUCACUUUGGAGGAGCAGGAAAUGUGUGAAAGCUGGAAGAGCGCUGAAGCAAUAAAGAGUGACACAGCUUUGCA